AAGUACUCCACCACCCGGUGUAGAUCUAUCCCGUCGGAAUAUAAUAUAUUCGUUACCCAUCGAUAUUGCCGAAUCAGGAAUGCUUUAUUAAAGAUAGCCAGGAUUCUGUAAUCAAUACCACUUCAGGAUUAUUAUUUGUGACAACUCUGUGUACUGAAUUCAUCGAUUUUGUUGGUUAAUUAUGUGGCAUGCGUUUGUUAACAUAAAUGUCAG